rnacentral:sRNA from 1 species
UGCCCUUUAGAGCCUGGAGAGGGCAUGCAGAGGGCCUGUGGCUUGUCCCAGCCGGAGGUUCCCCUUAAGGGGCCCAGCUGCCUUCUCUGGGGAGCUGUCUAUGGGGUCCCCGCAGCCCUCCAGUGGAGGCAGAGGCCCUGGCUCCUGACCGCACUUGUUCUGCAUAGGACUGGGCUAAGCCUGGGCCCUAUGACCAGCCUCUGGUGAACACCCUGCAGCGCCGCAAAGAGAAGCGAGAACCAGACCCCAACGGGGGAGGACCCACUACCGUCAGCGGCCCACCUGCAGCAGCUGAGGAGGCUCAGAGACCACGGAGCAUGACUGUAUCGGCUGCCACCAGGGUGAUGCUCUUGUUCUCAAUAGCUGGUUGGGGCCACCUCAGCCUGGCUGGGGAUCACAUUCUGGCCAGCAACUGGGGGGCCAAGGCAGCCUUGCAGCUGGAGGGACCUGGGCUCCAUUCCCUGACUUCCUGCUCUACAGCAAAGUCCCUGGGAAAAAACCUUGUGUGGGAAUGAGAGAGGCAGAACUUUCUAGGGUCAGAGUGGGACCCAAGCAAGUCAAUAGCCCCCUGGCCCCACAGACAUGUAGUGCUCACGGGGGCAGGACAGAAGUGCCGUUGAGGCCCCCCCUAAAGCCACCUGUGUAUUUCUCUCCUCCAACCUGCAGCCUGGUGAGGAGAUGGAGGCUUGUGAGGAGCUGGCCCUGGCCCUGUCUCGGGGCCUGCAGCUGGACACCCAGAGGAGCAGCCGGGACUCGCUUCAGUGCUCCAGCGGCUACAGCACCCAGACAACCACCCCCUGCUGCUCUGAGGACACCAUCCCUUCCCAAGUUUCAGAUUAUGAUUAUUUCUCUGUAAGUGGUGACCAGGAGGCAGAUCAGCAGGAGUUCGACAAGUCCUCCACCAUUCCAAGAAACAGCGACAUCAGCCAGUCCUACCGACGGAUGUUCCAAGCCAAGCGUCCAGCCUCAACUGCUGGCCUCCCCACCACCCUGGGACCUGCUAUGGUCACUCCAGGGGUUGCAACUAUCCGACGGACCCCUUCCACCAAGCCUUCUGUCCGCCGGGGAACCAUUGGAGCUGGUCCCAUCCCCAUCAAGACACCCGUGAUCCCUGUCAAGACCCCAACCGUCCCAGACCUCCCAGGGGUGUUGCCAGCCCCUCCAGAUGGGCCAGAAGAGCGGGGGGAGCACAGCCCUGAGUCGCCAUCUGUGGGUGAGGGCCCCCAAGGUGUCACCAGCAUGCCCUCCUCAAUGUGGAGCGGCCAAGCUUCCGUUAACCCUCCACUUCCAGGCCCGAAGCCCAGUAUCCCUGAGGAGCACAGACAGGCAAUUCCAGAAAGCGAAGCUGAAGACCAGGAACGGGAACCCCCAAGUGCCACUGUCUCCCCAGGCCAGAUUCCAGAGAGUGACCCUGCACACCUGAGCCCAAGGGAUACUCCACAAGGAGAAGACAUGCUGAACGCCAUCCGAAGGGGCGUGAAACUGAAGAAGACCACGACAAACGAUCGCUCGGCCCCUCGCUUCUCUUAGGCUCACAAGAAAUGCACCGGUGGGGAAUGAACUGUUUCAUUAAUAAAACCUAAUUUGUCUUGAUCCAUUCCAAUCUAUAAUAAAAGAUUUUGUAGGCAACUCGGAAUAUAGCUCUUUUGAAAGUACUCGACACCUUUAGAUAAGAAUUAAAACCAACCUAUGUAACUGACAUAAUCUUGAUCUUUUAAUUUGUAAAUAUUGACAAUUUUCUUUCUGCACAUUUUAAUCUUAGUUUCCCUUUUGAUUUUUCUGAAGGUGCCAAAUUCCAUUUAACUUUUUUACAAGUCUUUGUAAAAUUUUAAAUGCAUAAGGGGGGUUGGGGCAGGGGAAUCACGAAGUAGUUAAUUUUAGAAAAGGAUUUACUAUACUUCACUCUUCUUUUUUUUUCCCCACAAGCUUUUGUAGAUGCAUUGUAAUAGUCUAGCUUAGAAGCAAAUGCAAGUUAUUUUAAUGUACAAACUAAAUGGGUAAGAGGUAAAAUCUUCAUUUAAAUAUACUAUGUUCUGGAUGAAAAGAGCAGGAGUAACAAUUGAUGAGCAAUAUUCAGAGUGAAGUAAAUCUGGAAAUGGUAGACUGUGUUGGGAUUGGGGGGAGGGCCAUGGGAGGGGUACAUCGUCAACAUAGCCGAUCCUGUUACAUUUAAGAGUAGCCUCGUAGGUUGAAUUUCUUCUGGUAGCUUCAUGGUAAAUGCAUCCGAAUAAGCCAUACUGGAUUGCAGUGUUUGUUUCUGUAGGGUGUUUAAGGACUUCCUUUCUCCCACGAUUCCUCUGGACUGCACACAGCACCCACAACCAGCCCCAUGCAUGCUGCUGCCUCUGGGCAGUCGUAGAAUCUCCCACUUCAGUUUCUCGUUGAUUGUACUCACCUUUAUGGAAUCCAAAUACAUCCAAAAGGGUAAGGCAGUUUUAAAAGUGUGAAAACAUUUAAAAAUAAUGAUAGCAGGGAAUUCUUAGAUUAUAGUAAAUGCCUUUUACUUAACUGUGCCCAGCAGGCUGGGUGCGUUAAAAAGCCCAAAUAUUUUGAAAAAACUCGAACGGAUUUGACAAGGGUAGCCAGCUUGGAGUCUAGCAACUUGCCAAUGUGUUUACCAAUCUGGGGGCUUGUUUUUCUUUUCUUCUUUCAAAUAAAUGGCAGUUAACUGGCUUCACAGUAAACAUUGAAGAGAGGAGGAUUUCUUUAUUGUCACUGGGAAUCUGACCACUAUACUGUCCUUUUUUUGUAUUCUGGGUAAUGUUUUUUGGAAAGGAUUUGUCUUUUCUAAGUGGAAGUUAAAUUUGUUAUACUGCCCAUCCCCUAAAGCCAACAGAGAUUUGUAGAUUUAAAGGGAUCACAUUUGAAGACAAUAGUGUUUAAGAAAGCAAGCAAGUCCCUUAGCAGUCAGGUCAUAACAGGGCACAUUUCUGACCGAACCCUCUCAAGGCAGAGGAGGAGUUUGGUGGGUCUCAUACACCCUGCAGAUUCCUGUUGGCUCUAACCCUCAAUUACCUAAUCUUAUGCUUUAACACAUAACUGCAUUGGAUGUGAGAGUAACGUACCGUAUGGUCAUUGUUCUAUAUAUUAACAUUGAACACUGCUGCGAUUGCUCAAGGACAUUUUAUGUUACGGCUUUAAAGCAAAGGCAUGAUUAUUAGAAACUAUUUAAGCUUUUUUCUUUGAAAAACAAGCUCCUUUUACAGAAUAUAAACAACAGUAGUGCCUGUGGUUUAGCCCACCAAUCUUGAUGACUAAAAGUAGCUGAUGCAUUGUGCAUAUGAUGCUUGAGAUGGUUUUUGCAAAAGCAGAAAUCGCUGCAAGGUAAUCACAAUAGAUAAAAGUGGUAUUUUAAACCUUUGAAAUAAAUGGAUGUAACUGUACCUUGGUACAGCUUUUCACUUGUUUAGUUUUUAAACGUUAGUAUAAUCUGAAUAAAUAAAAUGUUGCCAAAUUCAAUGUAGAAAGAAUGUGACAACACACCUUGGGUAGUUCUGCUUGUGUUUUUGCAUAUUGUAAAAGCAGUGUCACAGCU